UGGGGAAUUUUGGACAAUGGGCGAAAGCCUGAUCCAGCAAUGCCGCGUGUGUGAAGAAGGCCUUCGGGUUGUAAAGCACUUUUGUCCGGAAAGAAAUGGCUCUGGUUAAUACCUGGGGUCGAUGACGGUACCGGAAGAAUAAGGACCGGCUAACUACGUGCCAGCAGCCGCGGUAAUACGUAGGGUCCAAGCGUUAAUCGGAAUUACUGGGCGUAAAGCGUGUGCAGGCGGUUGUGCAAGACCGAUGUGAAAUCCCCGAGCUUAACUUGGGAAUUGCAUUGGUGACUGCACGGCUAGAGUGUGUCAGAGGGGGGUAGAAUUCCACGUGUAGCAGUGAAAUGCGUAGAGAUGUGGAGGAAUACCGAUGGCGAAGGCAGCCCCCUGGGAUAACACUGACGCUCAUGCACGAAAGCGUGGGGAGCAAACAGGAUUAGAUACCCUGGUAGUCCACGCCCUAAACGAUGUCAACUAGUUGUUGGGGAUUCAUUUCCUUAGUAACGUAGCUAACGCGUGAAGUUGACCGCCUGGGGAGUACGGUCGCAAGAUUAAAAGCUCAAAAUGAA
rnacentral:rRNA from 1 species